AACAGAACUCGGUCAGGAGAGAGAGAGGUGAGCUCGCGAGCUGCCGCACACAAUCACGGAAACUACCGUUAACGCCACUUCCGCCCACAAGAAACAUGGCGUCUUCCUUGACGGAGAACCUGGCGGAAUAUUUAGGCUCACCCGAGCCGGCAGUUCGACUAAUUCUUUCUAUUUUAAUAGGUUAUCCUUUUGCGCUGGUGUACCGGCGGUUUCUGUUCCAUCAGUCUCCAUCUGUCAUUCAUCUAUUCCAUGCUGUCUCAGGCCUGUCCUUGGCCAUGUUCAACUUUGGCUCUCAGGUGUAUCACUCUGCAUUAUGCAUAAUCAUCCAGUUCCUGCUGCUGAGGCUUAUGGGAAGGACUGUCACUGGUGCCCUGAGCAGCUUUAUAUUCCAAAUGACAUACCUCUUGACUGGUUAUUACUACACAGCCACAAGAGAGUAUGAUAUCAAGUGGACCAUGCCCCACUGUGUCCUUGCUCUCAAACUCAUUGGUUUGUCACUUGACUACUAUGAUGGUGGAAAAGAACCAUCUCAGUUGAGCGCAGAGCAGAAGACCGCCGCUCUUCAAACCACUCCGUCUCUCUUGGAGGUUUUUGGUUUCUCGUACUUUUACGGUGGCUUCUUGGUAGGACCUCAGUUCACACUGCGCAACUACAAGCGUCUGGUUUCCCGAGAAAUGACUGACUGUCCCGGCCAGGUGCCCAACAGUAUUGUCCCUGCAUUAAAGCGCUUUUGUUUGGGUUCUUUCUUCCUGCUUAUCUUCACGAUAUUUGGACCAUAUUACCCAGACAGCUAUUUCCUUACAGACGAAUUUGAGGCUCAGCCAUUUUGGUACAGGUGUGUGUAUAUCCUGCUGUGGGCUAAAGUAAACCUGUACAAAUAUGUGACCUGCUGGCUAAUAACUGAGGGCGUGUGUAUCCUCUCUGGGCUCGGCUACAGCGGCCGUGAUGAGGAUGGGCAGCCCCAGUGGGACGCCUGUGCUAAUAUGAGAGUGUGGAUAUACGAGACCACGCCUCUUUUCACAGGCACCAUCAACUCCUUCAACAUUAACACCAACGCAUGGGUGGCCAGGCACAUUUUUAAGAGACUAAAAUUUUUGGGUAAUAAGAUGGCAUCGCAGUUUGCCACGCUGUUUUUCCUUGCUGUCUGGCAUGGCCUGCACUCCGGUUACCUGCUCUGCUUCUCCUUGGAGUUCAUCAUCGUCAACGUAGAGAAGCAGGCUCAGGCGCUUGUGAAGGACAGCCCGAAGUUGACGGCCUUCGCAAACAGCCCUCUGUAUCCCCUUAUAUACAUAGUACAGCAGUUCAUCCACUGGCUCUUCAUGGGCUACCCGCUACUAGCAUUCUGCCUCUUCACUUAUGACAAGUGGCUGAAGGUUUAUUCGUCUGUGUAUUUUUGUGGUCAUCUCUUUUUCUUCAUUGCCUACAUUAUCCUACCUUUCCUUCGUAAGGCACUGGUGCCUCGGAAAGCCAAGAGCGACAGAAAGGAAGACUAGACAGAAAUGGAUCUGAAGAAGAAUCCAGUGAGCAACCGCAUUGUACUUCAAUAAUAAAUGUUUUCUUUGGCUGGUCCUCCAUAAACUACCUGAAGGGAACUGUGAUUGAUUGGAAACUAUUUUAAGGCCUUUAACUAUAUAUUAUUAUAAAUAUAUACAUACAUGCAUAAACUGUACAAAAAUUUGUUUUCUUAAUAGUUUUUUUUUUUUUUGAAGAAGAAGCAGUUUGUAGGUUAAAGAGGAUAAGAUAAUGCUCUCUGAGGGGAGAGCUGUUUUGUCUUUUUUUCUUUUUCUUUUCUCUUUCUUUUGUGGAAAUGUGACGGGUGGUUAGGCUUGUGAGGAGACUUUUUGUUAUGAGAUAAGAGAAAUGCGCGUGCUAAUUAAUAUCCAUAACCAUUCGUACAGAUUUUUUCAGCCACAGUAUUGCACUCAUAGAUCUCUGUUCAUGGCAUCUCGGUGGCACCAAAUAAUCACGUGAUUUCUGGCAAAACCAAACACCCAGUCUGAGAGCUGGACAGGAGACUGUCUGCUUUCCUGGACUUCAUUUGGGGCUUUUGUGUGUAUUCUGAUUUGCCUUUCCUGUUUUCCAAAAUCUGAAGCCACUGGUCAGAUUUACACAAGACACUGUAAUAUAUAAAACACAGGACGUGCAGUGAAGCUUGGAUAUGCCUUGCCGUGUAAAUGAGUAUUAUUGUUGUUUCAUUUCUAAAUGAACAAAUUUUUCACAAUAUUUUUAGCAAUUUUAGAAUGGGUUGAUGGUUUUGUAAUUUUGUAGCUUUUUCAUAAAAAAAAGUCCACAACAAUGAACGAGAUGACCUAUUAUGAACCUUUUCUCUCUCUCUCUCUCUCUCUCUCUCUCUCUCUCUCUCUCUCUCUCAGACUCAUAUGUCCCGGCCUCUGUGUAAACUGGAACACGAGCAACAAAAAUUAUACACAUGCAGGAAAUCCUGUACAAAAAUUCACACUACUUGCCCAAAUUAUCCUUUUUGUAUUACUUAAGAUCUUAAUUACUUGGCACCAGGCAAACUAAACUGCAGCGAGGGAACUUUUUCUGCUUUCACUACUGACACAACGUCAAAAAGCGGUGACUCACUGUAGCUUUGGUGGAUUUUAAUAAUAUUUAUACUUGUUCAACAUUUCACUGAUGAUGUUCAUGUAACUAAUUUUGCCUUAUUGUUACCAAAUGUACGAAAAAAAUAUUUUAAAUGAACCAUUUCUUUUGCAAUGGUCAUUAAAAAUGCUGGUUUUGAUCAAA